AGUAUCUCAUUGGGGUUUCAUUUUGCAUCUCCCUAAUGACUAAUGACGUUGAGCAUCUUUUCUUGUGUUUAUUUGCAUCCAUAUAUCUUCUUUGGUAAGGUGUCUGUUCAAAUCUUUUGUCUAAUAUUGCUUUUUAAAAAUUUUUCGCAUUAUAUGUUCUGGAUGGAAGUCUUUUCAAAAAAAGUGAUUUGCAUGUGAUUUGCAGAUAUUUUCUCUGUAUCUUGUUUUUUCUUUCUUUUAACAGUCUCUUCUUUUAACAGCUUUAUUGAAGUAUGAUUUAUAUAUCAUAAAAUCCACCCAUUCUGAGUAAAGAAUUAUUUUUAGUACGUUUACAGAGUUGCGUAAUAAUCACCACAAUCCAAUUUUUGAAUAUUUCAUCACCAAUAAAGACUUCUGUGCCUAUUUGUAGGAACUUCCUGUUCCCACCUCUAGCCCCAGGCAACCACGAAUCUGCUUGCUGACUCUGUGGAUUUGUCUCUCCUGGAAAUUUCAUAUAAAUGAAGUCACACGUGUGUGGUUCGUCAAUGUCGCUGUGUGUAUCAUCAGUACAUUUCCUUUAACUUCUGAAUGGUAUCCAUUCAUCAGUUGAUGGGUUUUUGAGAUGUUUCAGUUCUUUGGCCAUUAUGAGUAAUGCUGCCAUGAACAUUUGUGUACAAGUCUUGAUCCAGAUAUAUUCUUUUAUUUCUCUUGGGUAGAUGCCUAGGAGUGGAACUUAGGUUAUGAUAUGUUAUCUUAUGUUAAAUUCAUGUUUAAAUUUUUGAGGAUCUACCAAACUUUCUUUGAAAGUGGCUGCAUCAUUUUGCAUUCCCACCAGCAAUGUUCGAGGGUUCCAAUUUCUUCAUAUCUUUGCCAAUACUUGUGAUUAUCUGUGGUUUUUUUUAUUAUUUCCAUCACGGCAAGUGUGGAAUAGUAUCUCAUGGUGGUUUGAAUUUGAUUUCCUUAAUUGCUAAGGAUGUUUAAUGUCUUUUUAUGUGUUUAUUGGCUAUCUGUAUAUCUUCUUUGGCAAAAUUUCUAUUCACAUAUUUUGUACUAUUUAAGUUUUAGCC
rnacentral:lncRNA from 1 species